AUAGAUUCUUACAUUGAUACCAGUGGAUUAUCGGAUUUAUCCAAUCAAGAUAGUUAAAUUAUCAAUUUUAAAGUCAGAGCCUCGGCGAGGACUUUAAGAUUUAUAAUUUAACUAUUGAGAUUGGAUAAAUCUGAUAAUCCAUGAGUAACAAUGCAAGAAUC
rnacentral:sRNA from 1 species